AUCACGAGUCCCCCCAAUCCAAAGCGAGAGUGCGAGACUGAAACCGAUUGACAGGAGGGCAUUGCCCGGCGGCGGGCCAGCAGGCGACGCACAGCAGCAGCAGCAUAGGGAUCCACGGCGGCGACCUCGACUUCCUCUUCCUGCGGCGGGUGGUGUUCAUCAAGCUAGUGGACGCUUAAUGGCCUCCUCGAGAAGCUAGUGGACGCCGCCGGCGACCUCGACUUCCUCCCCACCGACUCUACUGGUGCAGGACUGGCGUGGAGUGCAGAUCCGUUAGGACUUCGAUCGAUUUCUUCAUUCAAUUGAGAUCUUGGGCAAGCUCCUGGGUUUGUCAGCAAAAUUUAAGUACACAAGUGCAUCAGCUGCUGGAUUUGGAGUGGUAGAGACCGGAACCAAAAGAGGUGAGUGGAGAUGUACCGUGGCGGUCUUGAUCGCUUCAAGAAGGCGCAGACCUUGGAGCCCUUUUCAGUGCAGUCUGGGUCGGGCACCAAGAACACACCUGCAACUGCAAGAGCAGCUAAAGCUCCACUGGCUCCGUUGACACUGCCACAAAAUUCUAAUUUUGUGCUGGGUCAGAAUCACCAAAGUCCGCAAGGCGCCAGCUCGAGGGUGGCAGGGCUAGAUGCUGUUUCUCCUGGGCAUGUUGGGACACAGAUCGGUGGAGGGCAGUCGACAUGGCAACCUCCAGACUGGGCGAUUGAGCCACGCCAUGGGGUUUACUAUCUUGAUGUGUUGAAGGAUGGGGAGGUCAUUGAUAGGAUCAAUCUGGACAAGAGGAGGCAUAUAUUCGGGAGGCAGGUGCCUGCUUGUGAUUUCGUGUUAGACCAUCAGUCUGUGUCGCGCCAGCAUGCUGCUGUCAUUCCACACAGGAAUGGAAGCAUCUAUGUUAUCGAUUUAGGAUCAGUUCAUGGCACAUUUGUUGCAAAUGAGAGAUUAACGAAAGACAACCCUGUUGAACUUGAAGUUGGACAGUCACUUCGCUUUGCUGCAUCAACCAGAACCUAUAUCCUGCGAAAGAACACAGCUGCUCUAUUCCCAGCUCCUAGCCUUCCAUCAGAUGUCAGUUUGCCAUCUCCUCCAGACCCCAAUGAUGAAGACGCUGUUGUGGCAUACAAUACAAUACUUAACCGCUAUGGUAUUAGUAAAUCUGACAUAUCCUCUGGUUCCAAAGGUUCGUCAAUAGGUGCCCCUGGUGCAAAUGAUGACAAUCAGGCGGUUGAAAGGCCCUUGAAGAGAAGUAAAAAGUUGAGAGUAUCAUUUAGAGAUCAGAUUGGAGGAGAACUUACUCAAGUGGUUGGGAUUUCAGAUGGUGCAGAUGUUGAAACUGAACCAGGCCCUAUAGGUGUAAAGGAAGGCAGUCUUGUUGGGAAGUAUGAAUCUCUUGUACAGGUUACUGUCAUACCAAAAGGAAAGGAGCAAACUUCACCAAAAGAAAGUACCUCUCCAAGUGGGGUAACGGAUAAGCUACAAGAGGUGCUUAAAAAAGUUAAGAGCACAGCAAGAGGUGGGAUUUAUGAUGACCUUUAUGAGUAUUCUGUUCCAGGACAAGUGGGCUCAUCUUGGGCAUACAAGUCAGAUGAUCAGUCAGAUAAAGUCAAAGCUGUUGAGGAGAAGGCACCUAGGAUGAAUUCAGCUGAUGACAGCGAUGAUUUAUUUGGUGACUCAUGAUUCAGCAUUUUCAAUCAAAUACAACCAAAUGGAUUGUUCAGAAAUUCGUGGCGGAGUUUUUUAGUUUGUCUUCAGCAUUUUGCUUGGUUCUACAUGAUUGUACCCUGCUGCGAAGCAAGGUAUCUGAAAACUUUUACCGUGCAGGCAGGGCCUAUUUUUGCCAAGAACACCUGCUGAUCUUGUAACAAGAUUGAGAACAGAAAAGAAAGUUCUUGUGCUUGCUGAAUUAUGUAAACUCAUUCGAAAUAUACAGUGUAUUUCAAAACGCGAUGUGUGAUGGUUUUACAUGUUUUUGGGUAACCUGCUGCACCAUUUAAAACAACCUUUCCUUGCUUAGGUACUCACCAUGUAGAAAUACAAAAUUAAUGGCCGUAUGGAAGUUUUGUAUAUUAAGUCUAACAUCUUUAAUUA